rnacentral:lncRNA from 1 species
GAUGUACCCAUAAUAUGUAUGCAUUACAUGACUAUCCCAACUAAUUUCAUCUAAUGUAAUGAAAUAUCAAUUAAUUUUACAUUAUUGAAUGUCUUUUAUCAUUAAUAAAAUAUCUUUUAGUUUAUAUAUGUUAUUUUAUAACACCCUUUUAUUUUUAAAGAACACGUUUUCACUACCAAUUGAAAUUUGCAAAGUACUAC